GCUGGGCAUGGUGGCUCAUGCCUGUAAUCCCAACAAUUUGGGAGGCUGAGGCAGGUGGAUCACUUGAGGUCAGGAGUUCAAGACCAGCCUGGCCAACAUGGUGAAACCCUGUCUCUA
rnacentral:SRP_RNA from 1 species